rnacentral:rRNA from 1 species
UAACGAUGAAGAGUUUGAUCCUGGCUCAGGAUGAACGCUAGCGGCAGGCCUAACACAUGCAAGUCGAGGGGUAACAUAGUAGCUUGCUACUGAUGACGACCGGCGCACGGGUGCGUAACGCGUAUAGAAU